rnacentral:rRNA from 1 species
GAUGAACGCUGGCGGCGUGCCUAAUACAUGCAAGUCGUGCGGACCAAAGAGAGCUUGCUCUCUGAGGUUAGCGGCGGACGGGUGAGUAACACGCGGGUAACCUGCCUGUAAGACGGGGAUAACUUCGGGAAACCGAAGCUAAUACCGGAUGAUAAAGAGAAACGCCUGUUUCUUUUUUGAAAGUCGGCCUUGUGCUGACGCUUACAGAUGGGCCCGCGGCGCAUUAGCUAGUUGGUGAGGUAACGGCUCACCAAGGCGACGAUGCGUAGCCGACCUGGGAGGGUGAUCGGCCACACGGGGACUGAGACACGGCCCAGACUCCUACGGGAGGCAGCAGUAGGGAAUCUUCGGCAAUGGACGAAAGUCUGACCGAGCAACGCCGCGUGAGCGAUGAAGGCCUUCGGGUCGUAAAGCUCUGUUGUCAGAGAAGAACAAGUACCGGAGUAACUGCCGGUACCUUGACGGUACCUGACCAGAAAGCCACGGCUAACUACGUGCCAGCCGCCGCAGUAA